AUGGCAACGGCCCUGGCCGCCAGCGGGCUCGGACGCGGACCCGGGGGCAGGGCGGACCCGGCGGCCCGGGAGGGAAGGCGGAAGUGGAGCGAGGGCAAAAUGGCCGCGAAGACCACCUAACCGUGCUGUGGCUGUAAUCAGAAAAGCCCUGCAGACGGUGCCUCCACAAAGCCUGUCAGAAGAGGACACCUUGUCCUUGUCCAAGACAAAACACAUGUAACUCCCAACUCGGAGGAGGAAGAUGUGUGCCGUGGGAGGCUCCUUUCCAAUUUCUUUGGUAUCUACAUCUUCCUUUUCCCACUCAGCCUAUCAAACACAAUCUCUGAACUAUAUCCUACAUUUUGCAGCUUGUGACCUCUGGACUGCCUAACCUCGUUUUAACUAUUGAGCCACCCGACCAUGGAAGAAGGUCCCAAAUCCAGUGCCUUGGAGUAUCCCACCUAAAGUCACUGAUGAAAGAAAGUAGAUAACCUGUGUGUGCGGUCACUCACAGCACGUUGUAGAACUUGGACUGUGCACUCAUUAAAUAGAAUGAUUCAGAGUGUAUGUAUAUAAAGUUUAUGACCAAUGUCCCGUCUCCACCUGUUUACAAGCUUUCAGACACAUUCAGGAUCGAAAGAUUAAAGUUUGGGGGCAUAGGGACUGCAGAGUCUGAGGCAUGGGGUUUCUGGCUGGGGAGUGGGGUCGUGAACGUACUGGAGUCCCUGUCACAUAUCCAAGCACUAAGGGUUCUAAGGGCUUUGCAUGUAUUACCUCAUUUAAUUUUGUGAAGUUUUUUUUUUUUUUUUUUCAGAUUCAUUUGAAUCUCUCGGUGCUUACUCCUUUUGAGAUUUGUUUGAAUCCUUUAGUGUGUAGUUUUGUCGGCACCUCACCUUGGCAUAAAAUAUUUGCAUUGUGAAUAUUAGUUAUUUUGAUAAGGUCCUUAAAGGCAGCAUCUCUGUCAUAACUUGGUAUUCUCCCGUACUACUAAGCAUCUCACUUUGUUAGGAAACAGUACUUUAAAAAAAAAAAAAGGAAACAGUACUUUGGUGUAUUUGUGACUGAAAUCAAUAAAUAAUAGAUGAUAUUCA